rnacentral:lncRNA from 1 species
UUCUCCAUCAUCAUGAACAUAUUUAACAUGAGUGCAACAUGCCGCAUACAAAUGCACGAACAAAAUAUUGAACUCCUCAAGUGCACAACUAUAACAUAAAGGACACGACAAUAGUAUAUCAACGGUGCAUUACAAUCCUCAUAACACUUUAUAACGAUGACAUGCAAAUAAAGUUGAGUAGUGGCAUGGCAUUAUUAAUAAUAACAUUCUAAUUAACAUGGCAAAGGUAUCAUGAAACACAAGCAUGCAAGAUAGGCAUAAAGAAAUAACCGCCGAUGAAAACGAUAUAAAACAACUACAACUACACACACACACAAGGUGCAAGCAAAGUCAACAUGCAUGUUCGGGGCUCAUGACAAGAGGUUGGCUUGCCUGGGGGUCGACAAAUACUCCGGGAAGAAGUGUGAAAUGAUCGCGAAAAGAUUUGCCAGAAACAGUUCCUUCUUGGAGGGGCUGUUUAUGGGCAAGGGCAAAAAGGUCAUUUUCACUGUGUGAAAAUAUUAUGAAAAUGAUAUCAACGGAACGGGCUCGACGAAACGAAGACGUGGGCUUUGGAAUCACCUGAUUCGGAGCUACGGGUAAAAAGAUAUGACUGUUUAACUAUCAGGGACCAAUCUGUAAACAAAAUCAUUACAAACGGGGCCCUAGCAGAAAAACAGAUCGCAUCUUACUCAGAAAUACGCUUUCCAAAAAGGAAAGCGCAUUCUAACCCGAAGAAGAGGAAGAAUACGCUUUCGGUGAUUGAAAGCACAUUAUCCAGCAAUACGCUUUCGCGUGGGGAAAACGACUUCGCGCCUGGGGCACGUCCACUUAUCCAACGUGGCGCUCCCCGUCUCGCCGACAGGUGGGGCCCAGAGGCAGGGUCAACGCGGGCGGGGCCCGCCUGGCCUUCUUCUUCCUCACGCUUGGGGUCGAGCGAGGCAGCGGGAGGGGAUCGCCCCGACGGCGAUCGCCGGCACGUCCGGCCACCUCUCGCGACGGCCGACCUACCCACGAGCUCAGGAGAACGAGGCGCAUCUCCUGGUGGGCUCGGUUGCCGGCGAGGAGCACGGGAGAAGAAGCAGCAGGGCACGCGGCGGAGAGGGGCUUCGGGCUCUGGUGGGCAUGGGGUUCUGGUGGGGGAAGCGGAGGGGCGGCGAGCCAGGGAGGAUCGACGGGGAGUGGCGCGUCCAUCCAUGGGCUCAGACUGGGCAGGGGACGGCCGAAGAGAGAGAAUGGCCGAGGGGGAUCGGCGGCGGCCAUUCGGCCAUGGAGGGGGAUGUGGAGCUCCGAGGCGAGUGGGGAGGCUUUGAGAGGCGUUGUGGCUGCGGAAGAGCUCGAGGGCUCUACUUAUAACUGCGGGAGUGCUCGGGAAGGGGCGACGAGGUGGCACGCGGCGUGCGACGUGUCCGUGCGCCGGCGAGGGCGCAGGCGCGGCCAAGGCUCACGGGGAGGCACGGGAAGGUGACGAGGGGGAUCAAGACGAACGCCAGAGGGUCACGGAGACGAGGAAGGCGUGCGGACGAACGGAGGAAGAAGACAUCGGCGAGGAAGACCGCGAUGCACAGGAGCGCACUAUUCCGGUCGUUGGCACGGCUCUCCGGAGAAGAAAACGAAGGGGGCAGCGGUCCAGAGGGAAGACGACGACGAGGGGGGGCUACUGGACAUUAAUGGCGAGGCCAGAGGCGGUCGGGGCAACGAUGCCGACGACCACAGUGGCUAGACCACCGUUUUGGCCGGUUACACGCGUGGUCACCACUGGCAUGGCAUGCUCUGGGGUUUUAACUGAUGUAAAUUCAUGUCUACCGCGUAGUCCUUCCAGCGUGGAGUGUUACCAUGGUGAAAGAUCGGGCGGAGACAAAUGGAGAUGAGUGAAACAAGCUCCACAAGUUUGCUGUUGCAAACUUGGCAACAUCCUAGAGAUUAAACCAGAGAGGGUAAAUGGUAAACUUGAUGUCCGGGGGGCUUGGGGUAGAAAGGACUACGGUCCUGGGAGUUUUGAGGUAAAAUGGACAACUAUUUACCAUAGUUGCUGUACAACCACCAAAACUGACCUAGAAACUUAAUCAUGAUGAAACACUCACUAGGAGUGAUGGAUUGGGCUAUAACUUGGCAAAGCCUGAUGAUUUGAACAUACCAUGAUGCUGUAAAAAGUUCAUACCAAAUAGACUCACCAAAAUGGUACUUCCUUCACAGCUAUCAUUUCUGUCCAAAAACUUCAAAACAAUCGUCAGGGCAAUUGGUCACGUGAAAUGAGCCACAAUCUUGUGGAGAUAGGUUAUAUGAGUAGGAGAAGGCCUGUAAAAAUUAUCAUCCAUAAUGGAGCAAGAUAAAGUACACUUUCUUCACAAACUGAAAAUUUGGACAGAAAACAAGAAUUGCUCAUGUGCUCACAUAGUUCAAUGAAAUGAACUGAAUUUGGGUGGAGGAUAAUGAUUUGAGAUACUUGAGAGGAUGGAAAAGUUUCAUCCCAUUCGGAAACACUAUGAAGGUACUUCCUUCACAAACUUGUGUUCUGGUCAGAAACUUUGAAAAAUUGCACAAGGAGCUAGGGUGAAUGGAUUGAGCUGAUAUUUGGUAUCCAUGGGUUAUUUAACAAUGUUAAACACCCUGCCAAAUUGCAGCUCAAUUGGACUUAGCAAUAAAGCACUUCCUUUGCAAAAUGUUAGAGAAGGCAGAAACUUGCAUUGGAUCAUGUGCCAAAUUUUGAACCGUGGAAUCAUGAUAUUAGGAUGGAACUAGUGAUUAUAUAGCAAGGACAAGCUCCACAAUUUAUGUGGGAAUUUUCUCUGCUAUAAAAAUAGUAGUUCCUUUCGAAAUUGGCAGAAAUGCAAUAUUGGCAUUAAAUAGGAAAAGGCAAUUUUCCUUAUUUAAUUAUGGCCAAUAUACUUGCCAGAGCUUGGAUUAGGCAUAAGCAUCAACUCCACCAAUUCUCAUGAAUUUAGGAGAUGGCUAGAUAUGCCUUUGGAAUUUAUUCCUCAAAAAGGCAAGAAAAGGAAUAAAUCAUAAUUCAAAAAUAUUGCAUUGGACUUAGCAAUAUUUUUGCAUAUCCAAGGUUAAGAAAGAUAGGAUGAUCUCUGGGAUCAAUUGGGAGGAUCAACAGAACAAGGAAAAUGGUGGCUCCUUUGUAAUCACAAGGGCAUAUCCAAAUUCCAAAAAUUUGGAAUUAGGGUUUAAGAGGAAUUGAGCUGAUGCAAAUGAGGUCUUGCCCACUGAAAAAGACAUGAGCAGGAUUUUGAAAGGUUGGAAAUGACAAAUUUUUCUCAGGGUCAUCCAGCAAACUCAGGAGAAAAUUUUGAAAAUGAGUGCCAGGAGAGAAUAACAGCACAAAAAUUGAUAACCCAAUUUUGGGGCUGUUACAACUCUUCCCCCCUUAAAAAGAAAUCUCGUCCUCGAGAUUCCUAGGGUUACAGCACAAACGAAAGAAUAACAACUCCGGAGAAAAACCUCGGGGUUAAUUUUUAACCCUUUGGUUAAAUUCAAAUGAGUUGGGGGCACCGAGAAAAAAAAAAUCGCGGAUUCCUCCAUGAAACGUAGGUGUCGAGGUAGAAUCAAGGGUGAAACCUGUAUCGGGGUAGAUGUACUGGAUCGAGUGAAAUAAAAUUGGCAGUGUUUCUCCGGAAAUGAAAUCAAGAAAAAGAAUUAGAGACGAGAAAUUUCCAAGCGGAAAUGCCUCUGCGGGGUUUCUAGAGUUGGAAAUCCGGCACACGGCGUAUUCACAGAUAGAUAGGGAUAUGUGACUUUGCAUUUCCCCGAGUACUGCCCGUAUAUACUCGUGGGUGAACCGGGUAUGCGUGCAGUAUGCAGAAAAAUCUAAAGUAGCAAACAGACAGAGGCAAUAAACAUGCAACGGAAAACACACCAGGCAAAAUCAUUCUACGGUGUUUUAAUGCUAGUGGGUAUAUGUACUCCUGGUAUACAUAUACCUACACCAGCGCGCAUUUUAUUAUAGACUCGAGACGAGUCAGGGUUAUUUUAGUGUAUGUGAUCUACUAAUUAAAAUUUUGUUAGCAACACAGUGUCAACCCUGUCAAACAUUUCUGCUUGACAGAGAGACAAGCUAAACAAGCACAGAAACAAAAGCACCAAAGCAUACAUAGAACAUAGCAUACGGGUUACAACAGUACCAGCAUACAACAAAGCACGAACGCUCUACGCGCUAAAUGAAACAACUCAUACCGGGAUACAUAGUUCUAUCCUCAUAUCGGGGAUGAACUGACAGACUGAUCAUCUUACUGCGUGACUGAGGUCAUGCAGAGGAUUUGCCUUGUUGGGGCUCUCCGGGAGGACGAAGACUGAGCCAAUCUCCAUCUUCAUCAUCCGACACUACUAUGGGUUGGGGUUCGGCUGCUGGGGGUGUGGCUGAAAUUGAUUUGAGCAAAUGCUGCUGGUGGAUCUGUAAAAGAGCCUUGUCGAGGGUGACGAUGUUGGGUCUAGGCCACAACACGGGUUGAGAGGACAACACUGGUUCGAAUGGCGUUGGACAAAUGACUUGAGAUGUGAAUUUACGAGCCUCACGGUAAGCUUCCUUGACGACUCGCACCACAUCGUUGUCCAGAGUUCGAAACUCGGCAAGCAUCUGGGAAAUCAUCAUCCCCUGGGCGGUAAUAUACUGCACCAGGCGAGCGAUUGCGGGGUCAUCUCCUUGGCUAGCGGGAGAAGGCUGCAUUCCUACCUCUGUCACAAUGGGGUAGAAGCAGAAAUCACGCCUUGCUGCCAUAUGCGGGUAUCUGGUUCGGAGGUGAAGCAUAGCCUCCACAGCAGCAGCCUGAAUGGCUAAAUCAGAGGUAGGCAUAGCUCUACCCUGAAAAACCAAGGUCUGGCCAUCCGCUGCUAGGCUGAUGCACACUCUUGCAUCGAAGCGAUGAAGGUGAGGGACGGGUGAUGAUUGGAACACCAGGUAAUCGGGGCUAGCCUUACAGCCAAAGGCUUUGGUGAGCAUCUCAGCAAGAAGGGGUGGAAAGCCGAGGUGGUUGACGGCACCGGUGCGGUUGUGAAACUUGGGAGCUUUGAAGGUGCCAGUCAUGGCUGGAGUGCUACUAGCUAGGCUUCUCUGCAGGGACAUGGUUGACUGAGGGGUGAGUGAUACGGCGAGCGGAAAGGGGGCUUUUAUAGGCAGCUAUGCGAGACAUGCCCGCAUGGUGUGGCCCCUUUCCCUAAUGGCGAAGGGUGAGCGGUGUGGCCGACCCGAAAGGAUAUGGUUGCAAUUCACGCCACGGAUAACUAGGCGGGGACAGCGGGGUGAGGACGUGUCAGCCCCGACUGCGCCACCUGUUGAUUAACAGUGGCCAUGCCAUAUGCAGGGAUGGGUCAAAUCCCUUAGGGCCAUUACCGGUUAAUGGUAGCGGUGAUCUAAUACUAGGAUAACCUAUGCCAGCCAGGCUGCUCUGAUACCAUGCCCUGAGGCACCCCGAUCCGCAUGGAGCAGGGGGCCUUCGCACGUCAGCCCAGGAUAACACCUAACGCACGACAGGUCCAUAAUACAGCAUUCCAGGUACAAUAAUAUUCAUCAAAUACAUGUAUAUGUGAUUACAUCCUUGAUGAAUACAACCAUCUGGCAUAGCCCUACGGCUAUUUUAAUGGCAGCGGAAGUCUAUUAAAAAAGGCGGCGGAAGUCUUGUUUUGGCAGCAUAACAACUCUGGCUGGGCUCCACAACUCACAGGACUGGCAAGAUUACGGCCUAGCACGACGGAUCAAGCGAGCAAUACGGGUACGACCUACAAAACUGGCAUGACACGCCAGGUCAGUACAUUGAAUGUACUUGCAAGACAACCAAAUACAUAGCAUCCAAACAAGCUGCAGACAAAGCAAGAACCGAGCGCAUGCAACACCCUAUCUCAUAUCAAUUACUAAACAUGGCAUGAUAAACAUCAACUAAGCAUGAACAAAAUCAUAACAUCUACUAACAUGGCAAUGGCAUGGCAUAUCAGAACAUGAUUAUAACAUUGUAAUAGCAAAACAUAGAAUUUUAUCUCAAUCAUGGCAUAACUUAACAUGUCAAUCAAAGCAUAGCAUGGCAUCAAGAAACUAUGCUGAAAAUAAACUACCGAAUAUAUAUCCAAUGCAGACAUAGCAUGUUAACAUUAUGCAAUCAUCUUCUAUUCUAUCAUGGUUCUUUAAAUGCAAAUAAUGAUAUAUUAUUCCUGCAAUGCAACCAAACUUGUGCACCGAGUCCCUCGGACUCUCUUACCAACGUGUUGCCUCGCAACCGAGCGGUGAUCUUUCCGGCGAUCACAACCAUGACCAACACUUGGUUUCCAACACUUAUCGAGACCUCGUCUCGUGAUCAUAUCAAAACGUCAUCGUGACUUCUCACGACUAUCUCAUAGUCCAAGUCACCAUAUUUUUGUUAUCACAUAUUUAUUUACCAACUUAAUUAUUUCAGGUUUAUCCUCCAUUUCGACCAAGACCUGAUAGUGGGACCUACUACGAACUGUGUUGCUAUCGAUAGACUUUAUAUACACUGUGCAGAGGUAGCACAUUGUACCCACACCACGGAACUCGUCAUCCCAUUCGGGUGGACCAACGGCAUUCCGACGAAACCGACCUACUGCCAUGACGCUCUCCCGGCCACUCCGACCCAAUCCCCAACGGGCUGGUCCUGGGUGGCCCCGUGUCUACCAAAGACACCCCGACCACCGUCGUGGUCAACUCCCAUUUGGGGACACUCCCACUCAGGGACACUCCCACUCAGGGACUGGAACGAAAAAUCUCAAAAACGAGCACACAAGGUUAUGUCCGCUUACCUGAUCAGGGUAAGCACGCCCAUAACCUUCCCUAGUGGGAGGCACCGGCGAGAGGUCAGAACAAUAGCUCGCAUUAAGGCCUCCCAUAAGGCAAAUGUGGCUGCACUGAAAAAGUUCGGUUUGGCGGCACUAUGACUUGAUCCCAUCGAUGAUGGAGGAGGUUUGUUAUUAUUAAGUCAUUUUAUUUCCUUCUCCAUCAUCAUGAACAUAUUUAACAUGAGUGCAACAUGCCGCAUACAAAUGCACGAACAAAAUAUUGAACUCCUCAAGUGCACAACUAUAACAUAAAGGACACGACAAUAGUAUAUCAACAGUGCAUUACAAUCCUCAUAACACUUUAUAACGAUGACAUGCAAAUAAAGUAGAGUAGUGGCAUGGCAUUAUUAAUAAUAACAUUCUAAUUAACAUGGCAAAGGUAUCAUGAAACACAAGCAUGCAAGAUAGGCAUAAAGAAAUAACUGCCGAUGAAAACGAUAUAAAACAACUACAACUACACACACACACAAGGUGCAAGCAAAGUCAACAUGCAUGUUCGGGGCUCAUGACAAGAGGUUGGCUUGCCUGGGGGUAGACAAAUACUCCGGGAAGAAGUGUGAAAUGAUCGCGAAAAGAUUUGCCAGAAACAGUUCCUUCUUGGAGGGGGCUGUUUACGAGCAAGGGCAAAAAGGUCAUUUUCACUGUGUGAAAAUAUUAUGAAAAUGAUAUCAACGGAACGGGCUUGACGAAACGAAGACGUGGGCUUUGGAAUCACCUGAUUCGGAGCUACGGGUAAAAAGAUAUGACUGUUUAACUAUCAGGGACCAAUCUGUAAACAAAAUCAUUACAAACGGGGCCCUAGCAGAAAAACAGAUCGCAUCUUACUCAGAAAUACGCUUUCCAAAAAGGAAAGCGCAUUCUAACCCGAAGAAGAGGAAGAAUAGGCUUUCGGUGAUUGAAAGCACAUUAUCCAGCAAUACGCUUUCGCGUGGGGAAAACGACUCGCGCCUGGGGCGCGUCCACUUAUCCAACGUGGCGCUCCCCGUCUCGCCGACAGGUGGGGCCUAGAGGCAGGGUCAACACGGGCGGGGACCGCCUGGCCUUCUUCUUCCUCACGCUCGGGGUCGAGCAAGGCAGCGGGAGGGGAUCGCCCCGACGGCGAUCGCCGGCGCGUCCGGCCACCUCUCGCGACGGCCGACCUACCCACGAGCUCAGGAGAACGAGGCGCAUCUCCUGGUGGGCUCGGUUGCCGGCGAGGAGCGCGGGAGAAGAAGCAGCAGGGCACGCGGCAGAGAGGGGCUUCGGGCUCUGGUGGGCAUGGGGUUCUUGUGGGGGAAGCGGAGGGACGGCGAGCCAGGGAGGAUCGACGGGGAGUG